rnacentral:lncRNA from 1 species
GCCUGCCAGAAGAAAAAGAUCUCUGCCCUAGCCAGACCCACGACAUUUCCCUAGCGCACUGCAGUAGCACAAAGUGAGGGUAGUCCUGUCGCUGGAGUGAGUAUCUGCGCUGCACCCGGUGGUACCGCAGCGUAACAUCGUGGCUUACGGGCCCUGAGUCUGCCGAGGUGCUUCCAAAGGAAGGGGCUCUACUGCUCCCCAAAGGCUGCGCAGCAGCAGUCUGUGGAUAAGAGGAUGCUCUGCCCAUGCGCAGCAUUUCCACCGACGCAGAGCGUAGCUACUCAGAAUGCUGUGUGGGCAAACGCAGCCGAUUUUUAACAGUAUCAUCUGGGCUGCACAGUUGCAUCUAAACCCCUGCGUUUCUACACCAGAGCCCUCCCAUAGCUGGAGGAAGCAAGCAGCCGUUCAGGACAGACCUGAGAAGACAAUGGCAUUUAACAAAUGUGACUCAGCCAAUCUGAGAGGAUACAAAGACACGUGGGUUACCAAGUGUCCCAAAAUGGGGUCUCCUCUCCGUGGAAGGCAGGCAGAUACAAGAUGGCGCCUCCCUAUGCAGGGAGGUGGGAGGGAUUUCCUGUGCAGGGCCCUGCCACCUCCGGUGGGGCUGAUUGACAUUGGGCCCUGCCCUUCACCUGAGGUUUCUUUCCCACCCCGGCAUGCAGUCGGCACAGCGCUGCCUGCUGCUGACCAGGAAGAGCUGCGGGCCGGAGAGGCAGGUGUGUGGAGCAGGAGCAGCAGCUUUACACGCCACAGCGUUCGGUGCCUGGCUGCCCGAGUGGUAAGAGAUGUUCUGUUGCUCAUAGGGCGUAGUGAGGAGGGCUUGAAAGUGUAGAUUCACGGAAAGGGAGGGGGGCUCUCUGAGUGUUCUGGGGAGCCGUUCUGCCCCCUUUCUGGAGGGCAAGCGGGACAGAUGCUGUUGUUAGCAGGGAAGAUGAGAGAGCCAUAGAGCUGCAGCUUGAGGCUGUGUUUGUGCGCUGCCGGGAGUGCUAUUGCCCAGGAGCCGCCUUUUCUCAGUGCAGCUACUCAAGGACAAGGCCCCGCGUCCUUUGGAAGGGGUGUGUGACAGGGUAAUCCUGUCCCCUCUGGCUUCAAGCCACGCAUGCUAUUGGAAAUGCAGGGUUGAAUCCUGCUGUAGCCCCUGCAGCCUGAAAGGUACCGAAGAACUGGGCUCGAGGGCCCAAAGGCUGGGAUUGGCAAGUGGCCUUUCCGUUUCAUACUGAUGCUUUCAGGAGCAUAGCCAUAUCUUUAACUUUGGCCUGCCGAGAACUGUCUGUGGGUUACUUGUGCCUGCUGGGGUGUAGCCCUCGAGGCCCGGCUAAACAG